rnacentral:hammerhead_ribozyme from 1 species
AUCCAGCUGACGAUUCUGAAAUAGGACGAAAUGCGCGUCCUGGAU